rnacentral:rRNA from 1 species
UUUGGAAUUUUGGACAAUGGGCGAAAGCCUGAUCCAGCGACGCCGCGUGGACGAUGAAGGUCUUCGGAUUGUAAAGUCCUUUUGUUAGGGAACAAUUUUUGAGCGUACCUAACGAAUAAGAGGUUGCUAACUCUGUGCCAGCAGCAGCGGUAAUACAGAGACCUCAAGCGUUAUCCGGAAUCAUUGGGCGUAAAGCGUACCGAUAGGUGGUUUAGAAAGUCAGAUGUGAAAUUCCAAGGCUCAACCUUGGGACUGUCAUUUGAAACUUCUAAACUAGAGGGGCAAAGAGGAAGCUGGAACGAACGGUGUAGUAGUGAAAUGCGUUGAUAUCGUUCGGAACACCAAUAGCGAAGGCGGGCUUCUGGGUGCCACCUGACACUGCUAGGACGAAAGCGUGGGGAGCGAAUGGG